UACGGAGGAUCCAAGCGUUUAUCCGGAAUCAUUGGGUUUAAAGGGUCCGUAGGCGGUUUGGUAAGUCAGUGGUGAAAGCCCAUCGCUCAACGGUGGAACGGCCAUUGAUACUGCCAGACUUGAAUUAUUAGGAAGUAACUAGAAUAUGUAGUGUAGCGGUGAAAUGCUUAGAGAUUACAUGGAAUACCAAUUGCGAAGGCAGGUUACUACUAAUGGAUUGACGCUGGUGGACGAAAGCGUGGGUAGCGAACAGG
rnacentral:rRNA from 1 species